rnacentral:rRNA from 1 species
GCAAAACGCGAAGAACCUUACCUACUCUUGACAUCCAGAGAACUUAGCAGAGAUGCUUUGGUGCCUUCGGGAACUCUGAGACAGGUGCUGCAUGGCUGUCGUCAGCUCGUGUUGUGAAAUGUUGGGUUAAGUCCCGCAACGAGCGCAACCCUUAUCCUUUGUUGCCAGCGGUUCGGCCGGGAACUCAAAGGAGACUGCCAGUGAUAAACUGGAGGAAGGUGGGGAUGACGUCAAGUCAUCAUGGCCCUUACGGGUAGGGCUACACACGUGCUACAAUGGCGUAUACAAAGAGAAGCGACCUCGCGAGAGCAAGCGGACCUCAUAAAGUACGUCGUAGUCCGGAUUGGAGUCUGCAACUCGACUCCAUGAAGUCGGAAUCGCUAGUAAUCGUAGAUCAGAAUGCUACGGUGAAUACGUUCCCGGGUCUUGUACACACCG